rnacentral:rRNA from 1 species
GAUGAACGCUAGCGAUAGGCUUAACACAUGCAAGUCGAGGGGCAGCAUGGUCUUAGCUUGCUAAGACUGAUGGCGACCGGCGCACGGGUGCGUAACGCGUAUGCAACUUGCCUCACAGAGGGGGAUAACCCGUCGAAAGACGGACUAAUACCGCGUACACUUGGGAUAGGCCUUCUUACCCAAGGAAAUGAAAUUUGCUGUUAGAUAUGCCUGCGUUCCAUUAGCUAGUUGGUGAGGUAACGGCUCACCAAGGCGACGAUGGGUAGGGGAACUGAGAGGUUGAACCCCCACACUGGUACUGAGACACGGACCAGACUCCUACGGGAGGCAGCAGUGAGGAAUAUUGGUCAAUGGGCGAGAGCCUGAACCAGCCAAGUCGCGUGAAGGAUGACUGUCUUAUGGAUUGUAAACUUCUUUUAUACGGGAAUAACAAGAGUCACGUGUGGCUCCCUGCAUGUACCGUAUGAAUAAGCAUCGGCUAACUCCGUG